UACGAAGGGGGCUAGCGUUGCUCGGAAUCACUGGGCGUAAAGGGCGCGUAGGCGGCCAUUCAAAGUCGGGAGGUGAAAGCCCCAGGGCUCAACCCUGGAAUUGCCUUCGAUACUGUUCGGCUACGAGACCGGAAGAGGUAAGUGGAACUGCGAGUGUAGAGGUGAAAUUCGUAGAUAUUCGCAAGAACACCAGUGGCGAAGGCGG
rnacentral:rRNA from 1 species